UCAUGAUUAAAAUAAUCCACGGAAAGAAAAUAUAUCACUGCAUUCAGUUUGCUUUCUAGUGUUCAGAUAUUUUGCACUUCCAAACCUCCACAUUUGUUCAUUCCAAAUGCAAAACAUGGAAUGUUUCUCGGUCAGCAGAAGAUAAAAUUUGUCACUGCAUCCACCAUUGCGAUCAGCAUAUUUGCAUUAUCCUCUACGAGGAAGGAAACAAUUAGACAGCAUGGGUCCACCAUUCUAAAUAACACCUGUCACAAAGGUUGUGAAGAGGAUGUGUCAAAUUUCUCUCCCACACAUGAUCACAAGAUGUACAAACAGAUAAAAUCUAAGCAAUAGAAAAUAAAAAACAGAUAAAUGCAAUAUAAAAAUGCAGGAGAUGGAAGCAAUAGGAAAUUAGGACACAGGUGCAAGCUUGUGGAGAGAGAAAGAAGUGAAGCACAUGGGGUUUCUCAAAGAGUAGAAGCCGUACUUUGUUGCCUAGUACAUAUGCUGACCUGCUUAUCGACUUUUGUAAUCCAGAAAAGACAUCUCACUGGCCUUGAUUGUCGGUGCGCCACUCGAUUGAAGCGUUUGAUAAAUGGAAAACUACAUAUAUUCCAAUAAUUAGAACAAGACAACUUGUCCAUGCUUCAUAACUGUUCUGGUUCUCUCUGGUGCCUUGUGUCUGCGUUCACUCUUAUCAACCGUAAACGUUCCUAGAAUUGGUACAAGCAAACAU
rnacentral:lncRNA from 1 species